UACGUAGGGUGCAAGCGUUAAUCGGAAUUACUGGGCGUAAAGCGUGCGCAGGCGGUGAUGUAAGUCAGUUGUGAAAUCCCCGGGCUCAGCCUGGGAACUGCAUCUGUGACUGCAUCGCUGGAGUGCGGCAGAGGGGGAUGGAAUUCCGCGUGUAGCAGUGAAAUGCGUAGAUAUGCGGAGGAACACCGAUGGCGAAGGCAAUCCCCUGGGCCUGCACUGACGCUCAUGCACGAAAGCGUGGGGAGCAAACAGG
rnacentral:rRNA from 1 species